rnacentral:rRNA from 1 species
GGGUCCUACGGGGCGCAGCAGUGGGGAAUAUUGCACAAUGGGCGCAAGCCUGAUGCAGCGACGCCGCGUGCGGGAUGGAGGCCUUCGGGUUGUAAACCGCUUUUGUUCAAGGGCAAGGCACGGUCUUUGGCCGUGUUGAGUGGAUUGUUCGAAUAAGCACCGGCUAACUACGUGCCAGCAGCCGCGGUAAUACGUAGGGUGCAAGCGUUAUCCGGAUUUAUUGGGCGUAAAGGGCUCGCAGGCGGUUCGUCGCGUCCCGUGUGAACGUCCAUCGCUUAACGUCGGAUCCGCGCCGGGUACGGGCG